AAAGUAUGUACUACUUGUUUGCUAAAUUGAUAAGUGAUAACAUGUGCUGAGGUGGCUAGCAAUGAGUAGUAGUAAGCACGUACAACGCACAUACAUAUAUACAUACCUAGAAAUAUUUAGUCAAGCCGAUCAGACGAGGAUGCGACCUGCGUUUUACUAUAGAAACAUUACAACAACAAAGCCGGUAAUAGCUACAUGCACAACAGUGCACAGUGCAGAACAAGAAAACGCGAGGAACAAAAUACAAACAACGAAGGUGUGGGUAAAGUAAAAAGGAAAGAAAUAUUAUUUCCAUUAAAACUGCAUAUGUGCAUAAAAGAAAAAAAGAAAAUAGAGAAACGAAAACAACUUGGAGAACGCUAAUUUGGAAGUCAUGGAAUAUAUACACAGAUGAUUGCUCCUGAUAAACACUGAAUAACCGUACGUGAAGCUACGGUUCCAUCACUAGCUAGCUGGACCGCCACCAUUGACAGUCACUAAAAAGGUAGCUGAUGGCCGUCUGGCAAUGAUUACUUCGCUGUCUCUUUCUGGCCAGCGUCCGGCGCGCAUGGUAGAAGUGCCUCAAGUAUAUAAUAGUUGCCAUUUCCUUUGCAGACGUACUGUGCUGUGCUGGGAAUUGGCGGCACCCAUGGUUGUAUUGAAUGCACGGAAAUCGUGGUGGCUUCGUGGUUGUUGGCAAUUGCGUUCGUUCCGUAGCUGUUAUCGUCGUUGCUGUCUAUCGAUUUGCUCACCAUCUUGGUACUUUACUUUGUGUUUCAAAUGAAUUCAUGCUGAUAACCUGUGCAAUUUGAGAGUCCAUAUAAAAUAAUUAACGUUGGUAUGUACUUGCAGCUGUUGUACAUACACAUAAGUAGCUACUGGCUAAAAGAAUCGAGAGCUAGAGCGUUGGGUACAAGUUAAAAUCAUAAGAGCAACAGCACUACCUAGUGGAGUAACCAAGCAGUUUCACCUUGGGAGUUGCAUAACAUGUUUGAGCAGCUGCCAACUGCCACGAUUUGUAAAGCACGAUUAAGUUUGGACUGUUGAUGAAAUCAUUUUUAGGUUAUGUGUUCCAUAGUCACAAGUUGGUGUUUUUCACUCCAUUUUCGUAUUGCUCUUUUGGACAGGUAGUUGUUUCAUGUCGCAGUAUUUUACAAAUAUAUAAUACAUAUCGAACGCAAAU